CUUCAACGAGCCCAGCCACAAAGGCUGUUCGGCGUCGUGGUCCUGCCCGUAGGUGGCGAUCAGGGCCUGCGCCUC
rfam:Streptomyces viridochromogenes strain NRRL 3414 P001contig185.1, whole genome shotgun sequence.